rnacentral:rRNA from 1 species
UACGUAGGGGGCAAGCGUUGUCCGGAAUCAUUGGGCGUAAAGAGCGUGUAGGCGGCCCGAUAAGUCCGCUGUGAAAGCCCGGGGCUCAACCCCGGGAGGCGGGCGGAUACUGUCGGGCUAGAGUCCGGAAGAGGCGAGUGGAAUUCCUGGUGUAGCGGUGAAAUGCGCAGAUAUCAGGAGGAACACCAAUAGCGAAGGCAGCUCGCUGGGACGGUACUGACGCUGAGACGCGAAAGCGUGGGGAGCAAACAGG